AUGCAUAAGACGUGUUCACUCGUGCUGGACACAUUUUUUGCCAACCCUUGCAAGAUUGACCAGAUCCUUCGUGCAAACCGGAGCAAGAUAUUUCAGUUCAUUCAAUGGAAUAUAAUAAAAACCAUUUGGAAUGCUGCUGGUUUUGGAUUUCUAAAUGAUGAGAAGCGUUAAUUGAGCACGAUUCUCCGUAACAAGUUUCCUCUACUCCCCUUCUGCAAAUUUACGACCAUAAAUUUAGAUUGGUAGCUAUUGAUACAUAUAUAUCGUUAUUUUUAGAGUAUAGCACAUGGUAUUGAAGUGGAAUUUCAAAGGCUACAUCCUCGACUCGACUAAAUACAUCUUGCAAUUGAAGCCAGUGUAGCAUGUUUUAUGUUAAAAAAAGAGAUGAGAAUCAAUUUGUCAUUUGAGGGACACACAAAACAAAAAUAUGAAUUCUUACAACACUGCCUGUAACGAGGAAAGAGAGCCGUGUCGGAAUCAAAUUUUAUCGGCAGGGCUCGCAAUCUCCCACGCAGCUGACAAUAGUGAAACUUAGAAUGCAUAUCUUAAAAAUCCAAUUUGGCAACCUCUGUCACUUUCGCAUAAAUUAUGAUUUUAAUGGGUGACUGAGAAAGCGAGCGGGGGUGAAAAUAUGAAUGAUAAGCAACAUAAAAAGGAUUGAAGACGGGUGAAAGGCGAAUUUGUGGGGGAGGGAGGCGUUCAAAUAUUUGACAGCCAAAAUCCCUGGUUUUUAAUCUUGUGUUGACAUUGUACUGCCUUCUAUCCUCGAUCCGCAUAUUUUAUUCUGCCCUCUUCUUGCCAAAGCCGCACAAGGAUGAAAAAAUUAAAAUUGAUAUGUGGAAAAAUUCUUUUCGGGCCUAAAGCAAAAGAAAUACUUUUCUGGUGCCACGUUUUGUUACUUUAAUCGUUUUCUUAGAGCCGAGCUAUUCUUUCCACAAGAGUGCGCGCGAGUUUCUUCAUUUCUGAGUCGUGUAAUAGAACGCGAAGGCUAUGACGGGUAAUGCGAGUAACGUACAUGGAACUAACAUAUUGAUAUCUAGAUGUUCUUAAUUUCUAUUUAACCUUCGUUCAAGUGCCAAGCCCUUUGUUUGCACAAUCACUUAAAAAAACUUCGCACUAACUGGGCACCGUGACCUAUUGUGAUGCACGCGUGACCAAUGGAACUACAAUAUAUAUUUUAUUUUUUAAGAUAAGAUCAAGGGAGGGACGUGCAUUUUUAUCGCAAACGCUCCUGAUUCCGAAACAAACUACACGUCGAUUGACACACUAAAACCGUUGGGAACUAAUAACCACACCCGGAGCUAUGCAAUGUGCGUAAGAAAUCAAGAGCGCCUGCAAUUUUUACGUAUGCAAUACGGACAUCCACAGAACACGAAUAGUUGCAUCCAGACCUAGGCAUUGAAAAAGCAAUUGCGCCUGGGAACAACAUGUAUCGGUCUGUUGCGUUGUAAUUUUUGCAUGAACACAGGGAGCUUUGAGUAGUUAAUCAAAUUGAAGAAAAGAAAUGAGUAACUAAAAAUUUAGGACCUUUCUCGACUUUAUUCAGAAAAUUUAUCGACAGAGAUUAAGCGAUUUAAUGUGCCUUUGUUGAUCCGAAAUGAAUGACUAUAAUAUUAAACCAAUGGACCUUCCCAUGGUUUAUCUCUUUUGAAUUACCUAUUCCACUCCCAGUUACAUGAUUUGAUGAGCUCCCUUUCAUUUUGCACUUAAUUUUCAAUUUUAGAACUGUUAAGUUGGUGGGAAAGGACGACGAGAAGAGAAGACACAAAUCAGGAGGACGCCAUGACAGUAGUAUAUUGAGGGCGGCCGCUUCCACAGAGCUUGGGCGGCUAGGCGCACAUAGUGCCCAU
rnacentral:lncRNA from 1 species